GACGUAGGGGGCCAGCGUUGUUCGGAAUUACUGGGCGUAAAGGGUGCGUAGGCGGCGUGGUAAGUCGGGUGUGAAAUCUCGGAGCUUAACUCCGAAACUGCAUUCGAUACUGCCGUGCUUGAGGACUGGAGAGGAGACUGGAAUUUACGGUGUAGCGGUGAAAUGCGUAGAUAUCGUAAGGAAGACCAGUGGCGAAGGCGGGUCUCUGGACAGUUCCUGACGCUGAGGCACGAAGGCCAGGGGAGCAAACGGG
rnacentral:rRNA from 1 species